AUUCUUGGAGCCUGGAAGACAGAGGAAAAUACUUGAAACAGACAUUUCCAACUGUAACAUUGCUCCCCUACCCUCAGUGGGACAGGCUGAGUGUCACUACAGGAUUAUUUGAUGUCCCUGAAGGAAAUCAUCUCCAUCACUGCAUUACAAAGCCACUUUCCUCUGCACUGGCAUACUAUGCAGGAAAUCAUCAGAUGAUUUUCUCAUUUUGAAUGCAAGCACCCACUUCAGUACCAAGAGACACUCUUAAUAAUGGCUCUUUAUUCAACAGAAAUCGCAGGACAGAUAACCAAGCGAGCUACUUAUACAAAAGGAAAAAGAAAGUAAUGACUUCAGUGUUAAUGAUAGAUAUCAGGAGUCCAUCACAGAUGCACACACAAAAAAAAGAAUAAAUUCUUAUCUUU